UGCUGGGUGGUUCAGUUGGUAGAGCAGACGCACCAUGUGUCGAGGCUAUAGACCUCGAUGCCAUUGUCCUGGGUUCGAUUCCUAAUCUCUAGCCA